rnacentral:rRNA from 1 species
UAAAAGUUUUAUUCUAGCUUAAAAUAUAUGAUAUUUAAAGUUUACAUGCAUAAUAGCAAUAAUUAAUUUUAAUAAAAUAAAAUAAUAGUAUUAGUUUAAAAAUUAGAUAGAUAAAUUUGUGCCAGCAUCUGCGGUUAUACAAAUAUUUUAAAAUAUAUUUUUAUAGUAAUAAAUUAUAUGUAAAAAAGUUAAACUUAUAUUUAUUUUGGGUAAAAUCAUUAAUUUAAAUUUCUUAUAUUUAAUUUUAUUAUAUAAAUUUAAUAUAGACCAGGAUUAGAUACCCUGUUAUUUAAUUUAUAAAAAAGUAGUAUUAAAUUUAAAACUUAAAGAAUUUGGCGGUAUUUUUUCAAAUUAGAGGAACCUGUUUUGUGAUAGAUAACACACUAUUUAUUUCACUUUAUUUAAACUUAUAUAUCGUUGUAACGAAUAUAGUAAGAAUUUUAUUCAAUAAAUUUAAUUAAAUUUAUUUCAAAUCAAGGUAUAGUAAUAAUAAAGAAUUUAAUGGGUUACAUUUAUUUAAAUAAUUAAAAUUAUUUUAAAAGUAAAUAAGAUUGGAUUUAAAAGUAAUUUUUAAAAAUUUAUAAGUUGAAGUUAGUUCAAAUAUAUGUACAUAUCGCCCGUCAUUCUCGUUUACGAGGCAAGUCGUAACAAAGUAGAUUUUCCGGAAGGAUAAUCUUGUUCAUU